rnacentral:lncRNA from 1 species
AUGAGAACAGCCUCUACUGGUCAUGUUCUGAUGCCAGGUUACUUUAAAACAGCUCAAUACACCCUAAAAGCACAGUUACACUUGCCGUGGUUUAAACUAGUGUUCUUAUGUCCUGACAAGCUCAAAAACGAUGUUGUAGGCAACUUUAAAACAGCUCAAUACACCCUAAAAGCACAGUUACACUUGCCGUGGUUUAAACUAGUGUUCUUAUGACCUGAAAAGCUCAAAACAAGGUUUUAGUGUUUCUGCAUUGCUUUCCAUCAGAACAGCCUGUACUGGUCAUGAUCUGAUGCCAGGCAUCUUUAAAACAGCUCAAUACACCAUAAAAGCACAGUUGCAGAUGCCAAGGUUUAAACUAGUUUUCUCUUGGCCUGACAAGCUCAAAAAAGAUGUUUUAGUGUUUCUGCAUUGGUUUCCUGCAGAACAGCCUCCAAUGGUCAUGUUCUGAUGCCAGAAUACUGUCAAACAGCCUAAUGCAUCCUAAAUGUACUGUUGCAUAGGCCGUGGUUUAAACUAGUGUUUCUACAGCCUGAAAAGCUCAAAAAAGAUGUUGUAGCGUUUCUGCAUUGGUUUCUAUGAGAACAGCCUCUACUGGUCAUGUUCUGAUGCCAGGCAACUUUAAAACAGCUUAAAACACCCUAAAAGCACAGUUACACUUGCUGUGAUUUAAACUCGUUUUCUUAUGAUCUGAAAAGCUCAAAAACGAUGUUUUACUGUUUCUGCAUUGGUUUUUAGGUAUACAGUUUGUAAUGGUCAUGUUCUCAUGCCAGGCUACUUUAAAACAGCUCAAGGCAUCCUAAAUGUACAGUUGCAUAUGUCGUGGUUUAAACUAGUGUUCUUAUGACCUGAAAAGCUCAAAAACAAUGUUUUAGUGUUUCUGCAUUGCUUUCCAUCAGAACAGCCUGUACUGGUCAUGAUUUGAUGCCAGGCAUCUUUAAAACAGCUCAAUACACCCUAAAAGCACAGUUGCAGAUGCCAAGGUUUAAACUAGUUUUCUCUUGGCCUGACAGCUCAAAACGAUGUUUUAGUGUUUCUGCAUUGGUUUCCUGCAGAACAGCCUCAAAUGGUCAUGUUCUGAUGCCAGAA